rnacentral:lncRNA from 1 species
UUUAUCCCAUUUCUUUUAUUUAAAACUCAUUACAAACAGAAAAGUGAAAAAUAAUGUUAUAACUUUAUUCAAAGGGUUGAAAGAGUCUUGUAUGGAAUUGAGUGGGGUUGAACAAUAUAGUUGUGAUGUUUCAAAGGUUGGUAGAAAAAGAAAAAAAAUUAUUACUGAAAAAGAAAAAAAAAUGGAAGAAGAAUCGAAG